CCUACGGGAGGCAGCAGUCGAGAAUCAUUCACAAUGGGGGAAACCCUGAUGGUGCGACGCCGCGUGGGGGAAUGAAGGUCUUCGGAUUGUAAACCCCUGUCAUGUGGGAGCAAAUUAAAAAGAUAGUACCACAAGAGGAAGAGACGGCUAACUCUGUGCCAGCAGCCGCGGUACUACAGAGGUCUCAAGCGUUGUUCGGAAUCACUGGGCGUAAAGCGUGCGUAGGCUGUUUCGUAAGUCGUGUGUGAAAUGCGCGGGCUCAACCCGCGGACGGCACAUGAUACUGCGAGACUAGAGUAAUGGAGGGGGAACCGGAAUUCUCGGUGUAGCAGUGAAAUGCGUAGAUAUCGAGAGGAACACUCGUGGCGAAGGCGGGUUCCUGGACAUUAACUGACGCUGAGGCACGAAGGCCAGGGGAGCGAAAGGGAUUAGAUACCCGAGUAGUC
rnacentral:rRNA from 1 species